rnacentral:rRNA from 1 species
UACGUAGGGGGCAAGCGUUGUCCGGAUUUAUUGGGCGUAAAGAGCGUGUAGGCGGCCUGGAAGGUCAGCUGUGAAAACUCGAGGCUCAACCUCGAGACGUCGGUUGAAACCACUUGGCUAGAGUCCGGAAGAGGAGAGUGGAAUUUCCGGUGGAGCGGUGAAAUGCGUAGAUAUCAGGAGGAACACCGGUGGUGUAAACGGCUUUCUGGACCAUAACUGACACUGAGGCACGAAAGCGUGGGUAGCAAACAGG